rnacentral:rRNA from 1 species
UACGGGAGGCAGCAGUGGGGAAUCUUGCGCAAUGGGCGAAAGCCUGACGCAGCCAUGCCGCGUGAAUGAUGAAGGUCUUAGGAUUGUAAAAAUUCUUUCACCGGGGACGAUAAUGACGGUACCCGGAGAAGAAGCCCCGGCUAACUUCGUGCCGGCAGCCGCGGUAAUACGAAGGGGCUAGCGUUGCUCGGAAUUACUGGGCGUAAAGGGAGCGUAGGCGGACAUUUAAGUCAGGGGUGAAAUCCCGGGGCUCAACCUCGGAAUUGCCUUUUGAUACUGGGUGUCUUGAGUAUGAGAGAGGUGUGUGGAACUCCGAGUGUAGAGGUGAAAUUCGUAGAUAUUCGGAAGAACACCAGUGGCGAAGGCGACACACUGGCUCAUUACUGACGCUGAGGCUCGAAAGCGUGGGGAGCAAACAGGGAUUAGAUACC